CUCUCGAUUAAAAAUGGAUAUUGCUUACUAUCAGAGCAACUCCUCGCUGAAAGUAUUUUUUUAUUUAACGUUUACGAUUCGAUAAGGGAUUCUUUGACGACACCCAUCUAACAAAAUAUCUAGCAUGUCUUAUUCUACAGAUAUUUUGAACUCGAUAAGGUUGUUUUGUUACACUCGCAUCCCUACUAGAAUGUCUUCACGCUCUUUAUGGUUUUCUGAAAUAUAUAUAUACACG
rnacentral:lncRNA from 1 species